AUUGAACGCUAGCGGCAGGCUUAACACAUGCAAGUCGAGCGGAGUGAUGGUGCUUGCACUAUCACUUAGCGGCGGACGGGUGAGUAAUGCUUAGGAAUCUGCCAUUUAGUGGGGGACAACAUUCCGGAAGGAAUGCUAAUACCGCAUACGUCCUACGGGAGAAAGCAGGGGAUCUUCGGACCUUGCGCUAAAUGAUGAGCCUAAGUCGGAUUAGCUAGUUGGUGGGGUAAAGGCCUACCAAGGCGACGAUCUGUAGCGGGUCUGAGAGGAUGAUCCGCCACACUGGGACUGAGACACGGCCCAGACUCCUACGGGAGGCAGCAGUGGGGAAUAUUGGACAAUGGGCGGAAGCCUGAUCCAGCCAUGCCGCGUGUGUGAAGAAGGCCUUUUGGUUGUAAAGCACUUUAAGCGAGGGGGAGGCUCUCCUAGUUAAUACCUAGGAAGAGUGGACGUUACUCGCAGAAUAAGCACCGGCUAACUCUGUGCCAGCAGCCGCCGUAAUAC
rnacentral:rRNA from 1 species